rnacentral:lncRNA from 10 species
AUAAAAUAUCAAAGUACACCAAAUACAUUUUAUAUACUGUACAUAAAAUAUCAAAGUACAGAAAACACAUAUAAUAUACUGUACAUAAAAUAUCAAAGUACACAAAAUAUUUAUUAUAUACUGUACAUAAAAUAUCAAAGUACCCAAAAUACAUAUUAUAUACUGUACAUAAAAUAUCAAAAAGUACACCAAAUACAUAUUAUAUACUGAACAUAAAAUAUCAAAUUACACCAAUUACAUAUUAUAUACUGUACAUAAAAUAUCAAAGUACACGAAAUAUAUAUUAUAUACUCUAC